rnacentral:rRNA from 1 species
GAUCCUGGCUCAGGAUGAACGCUAGCGGCAGGCUUAACACAUGCAAGUCGAGGGGUAACAGGGCGUAGCAAUACGCCGCUGACGACCGGCGCACGGGUGCGUAACGCGUAUACAACCUACCUGUAACAGGGGGAUAACGGAGUGAAAACUCCACUAAUACCCCAUAUUGACGAGUCUUCGCAUGGGGAAUCGUCGAAAGCUUCGGUGGUUACGGAUGGGUAUGCGUGACAUUAGGUAGUUGGCGGGGCAGCGGCCCACCAAGCCGACGAUGUCUAGGGGAGCUGAGAGGCUAGUCCCCCACACUGGUACUGAGACACGGACCAGACUCCUACGGGAGGCAGCAGUGAGGAAUAUUGGUCAAUGGACGGAGGUCUGAACCAGCCAUGCCGCGUGAAGGGAAGAAGGUCCUAUGGGUUGUAAACCUCUUUUGCUCCGGAGCAAUAAGGCGGAUGCGUCCGCCGACGAGAGUACGGGGCGAAUAAGCAUCGGCUAACUCCGUGCCAGCAGCAGC